ensembl:lncRNA
CUUGACUUGUGGAAGUGUGACCCAUGACGUUUCCUGACGUCAUGGUGGAUGGCGCAAAUUGUAAAGUGAUUUUGACUGAAGGGUGAAUUAUAUCAGUCAUGAACAUCUCCAAUAAUUUCUCGUUAUUUUAUAAUAAGACACAAAACAACCACCUAUAUGAACUGUCAAUCAGUAACGUAAGGACAGUUCCCAUUUCCUCCAGCCAAUCAAGGGCCCCCAUCUUCCGUGGGCCCUGGGGCUUCAGCCCUGCCUAGCACUUAUGUUAAUCCGGCCCUGGAUAAGGGAGUAUUGGUGAAAGUUAACUCUGUAGCUGAUUGCCCUGUAUUUCGUACCCAGCUGCCUACCAUUAUCAAGUGGGGACCUUUUUCAAGGCCAUGCUCAGCCCUGGUGGAUUCUGGGGCUGAGGGUAAUUUAAUUGAUGCUACCCUGGUGUCUCCUACCACCCCUCUCAAGAAGAAACUCAUUGCCAGGGCUCUCAACGGCACCAUCCUCACCCAAGUUACUCAGGUCAUUUCCCCUGUAAGUUUUAACUGUUUCUGGCAACCAUUGUGAGGAGAUUGUGUUUUACCUCCUCGAGUCUCCCAGCACACCUACUGUGCUGGGGAACCUGUGGCUGGUGAGACACAGUCCUCACAUUGUUUGGGUUGAGAAUUCUGUAUUGGCAUGGAGCUCAUUUUGUCAUAAAUUUUGCCUGGGUGUUGCCUUUUCUGCUGGUUUUUCUUGUUCUAUGUUUCAGGAUGGGCAGACUGCGGUCUUUGCCAUUGACCUUCUCCCAGAGAAGAAAGACGGUUCCUUGCACCCCUGCAUCGGUUAUCAUGGGCUAAAUGACAUUACGGUAAAAUAAUUGGUACCCCCUGCCAUUGAUGUCCUUGGCUCCCGAGCUGCAGCAGGGAGCGCAGACCUUCACAAAGUUGGACCUCUGCAAUGCCUACCACUUGGUUCGGAUAAGGGAAAGGGAUGAGUGGAAGACAGCUUUUAACACCCCUACUGGCCACUUUAAAUAUCGGGAACCUGAUGCAGCGGUCCCCUCUGCCCAGGCCUUUGUCCAGAGGUGCAAAUCCACAUGGGAAAGAGCCAGGAAGGUGCUCAUUCAGGCGGGGAGACAUGCCAAGGUGGCAGCAGAUCGUUGUCAGACUCCUGCACCCAAGUAUUUUUGUGGGCAGAGGGUAUGGCUUUCUACUCUGGACCUGCCCCUUAAGGUGCCAUCACGCAAGCUGGCACCCAGGACAUUGAUAUCAUUGCACCUGAAGUAUCGAUAGGAAUUCUCACUGUGGUGCCAGAGGACAGCCCGAUGUCUCCACAAGGUUUGCCUUUGGAGGUCACUGAUACAGCAAUAAUUUUGGAGGGCGUUAUAGCAAUGGAUGGACUUGAGAAUGUUCCACAUUUCAUUUGUUUUGUUUUUGGGCUGAUCCAAAUAUGGAGUACCCUUCACAGCUUAAGAAUUUGUUCAAUACGUUUUUAAUAGCAGAAACAAGCCUGUCUUGGGUCUAUUGUUGCAUUUUGGGUGUUGUAUCCAGAUUGAUGGGUGACUGAUUAAAAAUCGAAAUACCCGCAACUUAAAAACCGUGAUGUUUUAAUCCGUUUUUGGUUUAUGCUUCUUGAUGGCAGAAAAAGACCAUGUUAUUGUAGGUCUGUUGUUGCACUUUGGGUGUUUUAUCCAG